GGCUGAACCACAGGAGAGGGGACUUGAGCUCACUCAUCUGGCAGCAAGUGAAGACGCGCUGAUCUUUUCGUGUUCCUUUGACAAGAAGCUAUCACGAGGAAUGGAAGGAUCCUGGACCCAAAAAACCACAGGACCCAGCAGGAAACAAGAGGACAGGCUCAAACUCUGGGUUUCUGAGCCUACGCUCCCCUCUCUGGAGGCCAGGUCCCCCAAAUGUAGAAGGAUGGACUGAUCAGUGAUUUUAAAGAACCGGUUCACCGCCAAUCGCUGUACCACGCACCCAACUCUCCCAAAGUUUUCUAAAACAAAAAUACAAACCUCACCGCCCUCCACCCGGGGUUCCACAACUGGAGGCCUUCCGAGAUGAUCCGACUGCCGGGGAUCCAGCAGCCCGACCAGCCCCGUCCCAGAACGAGACCGACCCCCAGACCACGCCGCCCAUACGCAAGCCCGGGGCGGCGGCCCCUAGGGGGCAGUGUUGCCCCGGACUUGCCCAGCGAGCGCGGAGAAACGCGGGUACUGGGAACUGGGGCUCCCACAGCACCCCGCAGCAAUCCCUCCGCAGAGAGCAGGCGUGGCAUGUCUCAAGAAAAAAUGAGAGGGAGAAAGAGGAGGUUCACUCUCAACUCCAGAAGAAUGGAGGAGCGCACCCUGCCUCCCUGUCUUCGGGCGCUGCUUAUACUAAGUUGGGGUAUUGAUACCGGCGUCUUGGCCGGCGUCCGUCCAGGGGAAGUCCAAGGGCAAAGCUGUCAUUUAGAAGCCCACACCACCAAAUUAGGGACCUGCCUUGUGACCCUGCAGAGACUCCGGGGGGCCGUGGGCCGGAUGACUGUGCUGUCUCCCCCACCUGCCGACAGCCUGUGCCCCAGGUCCCCUCCUGGGAGACUCCUGAGGCUCUGCCUCCGGGGCCUGGCCCUGCGCGGUGCCCUCCGCCAGUUCCCCAGUGCCGGCGUGCUGGGCGAUGCCAGCGUCGACUCGGUCCCCUGCCUUUUGGAAGCUCCUGAGCCAGCUUUCUACUCCCUGACGGUUCCUGGGCACAGUGCUACUCCGAUGAGGAGCACACGCCUUUUUAUUCAUUGCAUAGUAAGAGGUUCACUUCUCUGGAAAGAUCCAAGCUUCAAAAAGUACAGUAUUUCGGCCUCUCUCCCUCUCUUUCUCUCCCCCUUGCUUCCUAUAUAAUGGGGAUAGCCCUAAUUCUCCAGUUCCUCGUGUCUCUUUAUAAAUAAAUAAUGAGAUUUUAUUAAUUAUGCACGUACAGUAUCUGCAAGCAGAUUGCUGUAUCUCUUGAUGCUUAACAAGAGGGAAAACCCCUCCAUACUGUGGUUGGGUAUUUUUCUCCCUCUGCUAGCAAACAAAAACUUCAAGGGGCCAUAUGUCCUCCAAGG
rnacentral:lncRNA from 1 species